rnacentral:rRNA from 1 species
GGGUCAGUAGGUUGGUCGUGCCACCGGUACGUACUGGUCUCACUGAUUCCUCCUUCCUGAAGAACCGUAAUGCCAUUAAUUUGGUGUUGCGGGGAAACAGGACUGUUACUUUGAAAAAAUUAGAGUGCUUAAAGCAAGCUAACGCUUGAAUACAUUAGCAUGGAAUAAUGAAAUAGGACGAUCGAUCCUAUUUUGUUGGCUUCUAGGAUUGACGUA